rnacentral:rRNA from 1 species
CUUAAUUUGACUCAACGCGGGAAAUCUUACCGGGUCCGGACACACUGAGGAUUGACAGGCAAUAUUAGCACUUAGCUUCGGCGACGUGUUAUGUUAAAUAUGCUAGUCCUUUCAUGAUUAUGUGAUAGGUGGUGCAUGGCCGUUCUUAGUUCGUGGAGUGAUCUGUCUGCUUAAUUGCGUUUCACCAAGGGCCUAUAAUUUUACGUGUGUUGCGGCACUUUGACCCCUCUUUUUUUAAAGAGCGCGUGUCUUGGUUUGCUUAGCUCGCACAAUUAGGUCCUGAAAGCAACGAACGUGACCGCAACCUCUUGUUGCCUUUAUACCAAACGUGCAUAUGCAAUUUUUUAAUUGCUUUGCGCGCAAAAAGGCUUUUUAAACUAGAGGGACCGCUGUUACUUUCUUAAACCAGAGGAAGGUUGCGGCAAUAACAGGUCUGUGAUGC